rnacentral:misc_RNA from 1 species
CCACUGACCAAUCAGCAUAACCACAUUAAAACCCACCAGCACCACCAUUUCUUAAAGUGGCAAUAAAACGUCCAGAUUCAUUCACGUCAUACCUCCUCUAUAUUUUUCUUUCUUUAUUUAUUUAUUUAUUUAAUGCGGCUAUGUAUGUAUGUAUGUAUGUACGUAUGUACGUAUGUAUGUAUUGCAGAAAGAACCAGUUGUUGGUCAUUUACUGACUUCAGUAAUCUGCCUGUGUUGUUUUGAGCAGUUGAGUUGAAGUUAAAAGACAGAUAUAACAUUAAUAUCAUUUUCCUAUAACUACAAUCUACAUGGUGAAGAAAUGAAGAGUGUAUGCCUGUAGUUUGAAUGCGUCUGUGAAUUUCAGUGAUCACCACUCCGUGAUUUACGUAACAUUAUAGCAUCUCCGGCCUGUAUCUACCAAAGGUUAAUGAAAAUGGAAAAUACUCCACCAUAUUUGAGCAAGACAACUGAGCUGGACUGGAAAAGCCAACUCCAGUCUCGUCACAGUCGAAGAAGGACAAGAUGCAUAAAUGAAAUUCUGGUAAAAGAAAAAUCAAGUCAGUUGGGUCUUAAUGAUUUCUCUUCUAACACUUUGUUUAAUAGUUCUGGGAUUCUUAAGAGAAAUUACAGCUAUGAUAGUAGUGUCUUGUCAGACUUGCCACCAAGCCCAACAUCAUCAAGUGAUGAAGAUUUUCUAACAAUGAAUUUAAUGAAUACUGUUAAUAGAGUACUCAAGAAACGUAGUCAAUCAGUACCUGCCUUACUACAGAUUGACAUAUACCAAGACCGUGCCAUGCGGCUGAUGAGGAAACGCCAUGGCAAAAUAUUUGAAAAACGGAAAGUUCUUGAUGAUGAUACAUUUGAUUCCUUUGACAAUUCACCAAAUGACAUGCAAGAAUUUUCCCUCAGUAGCCCACAGGAUUUUGUAUUUACCUUUGAUUAUAAUGAAAUCAGCAAAUUAAACAAGGAGUUACUUUCUAUGGACAAUAAUAUUGAAGAAAGUUUGAGUGCUGAAAAAUUUCCUGAAAGCCCAGAUAGAGUUUUAUUAUUUAGUGACUCUGAAAACAACAAUAUUUUCCAUAUAACACCCAGUAUGGUAAAGUCCUUUGAAAUCCAACGGGAAAUCCGUCGUAAAAGACGGAGAAACAAAGGAACACAUAGUUUUGAUGACACUUGUUUACAUAGAGAAUCUUGCUGAAUUUUGGGCAGUAUGCAUUUGGCAAGAGAGUCAUUCCACAAACUUUGUAAUGUAAAUAAUGCUAUUAAAUCAGGAAGAUUCAUACACACACAUGCAUACAUACA